rnacentral:rRNA from 1 species
AUUGAACGCUGGCGGCGGGCCUAACACAUGCAAGUCGAGCGGAGCGGCGGACGGGUGAGUAAUGCCUAGGAAUCUGCCUGGUAGUGGGGGAUAACGUCCGGAAACGGGCGCUAAUCCCGCAUACUUUAGGUUGAGACUGGGUGGGAUUAGCUAGUGGGUGGGGUAAAGGCCUACCAAGGCGACGAUCCGUAACUGGUCUGAGAGGAUGAUCAGUAACACUGGAACUGAGACACGGUCCAGACUCCUACGGGAGGCAGCAGUGGGGAAUAUUGGACAAUGGGCGAAAGCCUGAUCCAGCCAUGCCGCGUGUGUGAAGAAGGUCUUCGGAUUGUAAAGCACUUUAAGUUGGGAGGCGUUACCAACAGAAUAAGCACCGGCUAACUUCGUGCCAGCAGCAGCGGUAAUAC